AAAAUUAGUGGAGAUUUAUGGAACAAAAACAUACGUGAUAAAGUAUGAUUUAUCCAUAAUAUGCAUGCUAAACCAUAUUGUGUUGCCUAUUUUCAAAGAACAAGCCUGGUUUAUUUUUUGCUAUCAUCAAUUUUAUGUCCAAAAUUAACUUCAAUAGUACAAGAAGACUGAUAAAGUACUGUAAGUUUUUGGGGAUCAAAACCAUGAGCCCGAAGAUCUCCCAUGACCUAAUAAAUGCUGAAAUAACAACAUCAUGCGUAUGUGAAAUUCAAGGAAAGGAUUUCGUACCUGCUUCUUGCUGCCCUUUGAGAUGAAACAUGGAGGAGAGAAAGUUAAUUGAAGGUUUCUUCCUCUGCUAUACCCCUCUAUCAAUCCACCCUAUGAUGGCCUUCCAUCCAAUAGAGGGAGAUGAGAGAAGAGUGAUGGUGAGAAUGGGGAAUGGUGGUGCAAAAUGAGAGAGAGAGAAUGCAUAAUCUCUCAAUAGUUAUCCCAGACUAACUGAAUAAGUUGAUUAAACUGUCCUAUCAUAGCACCUCAUUAGUCCAAAAAAAAUAGAUCCAAUGGUCUUAACUCUCUCUCUCUCUCUCUCUCUAAGUUAAUUGGAUGGUCCGUAGAGUGAGACCUUACACCAUUGUUUAAAUUAGAUUUGGGUUCCACCCCAUCAUGGACACCAUAAAUAACCCUUAAUUGGGCACGAUAUAAACUACAAUGCUCCAUCAUUGUUGUCACUCAUAGGAUUUGAAAAUUGCAACCGAAUGGUCCAGAUUUAAGCACUCUCACUAAUACAACCAUCGGAUAUAAUGAAUUCCACAAUUAUGAAUUAAAAUCAUAAACAAUUUGAUAAAGAACAAUCUAUAAGGCCACAAAAUAGCCCCUAUGAAGUAUUAUCUUUCACUAUAACUCAUUAGGGUUUUUAGGCAGUAUUUAUUAGACUCAUGUUGAGUGUGGGUGACUUUGCUUUGAUCGAAGAGGCCUUCACUAAGACCUUCCUUUAUGCUGUUAUUUUACCUUCAAUUGGUAGAAUGACAUCUCUGUCUUUUAUCUUGUUUUGAAUGUAUGUCUUACUUGUUGAUUUGUCACCUAAGGUGAGCAUUGCUUUAAGGUGAUAGGGUGAGCAUUUUCUUAGCCAAAUUAAUUAGUUUCAUGGAUGACUUCUUUUCUCUUUCAGUUAUUGCUUCCUACUAAUAGUGUUGCUAUCUUCAAUAAUAUUGGAAUUGGAAUUACAACAGCCUGAAAAGAAUCUUGCCUCCUAGAGGAGUACUUAUUUGGGAGGAAGAUAUGCACUUGUAGUAUCUACUCUCUCAUUUUCCUGUCUAUAUAUCUUGUCUCCACUACUAAUAAUCUAACACUUGGAACUAAAAGUGCUUGGAGAAGUAACUUGCCUAUUGAGAGAGAACUGAUUGGGAGGAAGCUUUGCAUUUAAUACCCCACUAUUUCUUAUUUUCUAUUUAUCACAUUUCCUUCAAGAUGCAUUUAGUGAAUGUUUCUGGAGUUGAGAAAUCUCAAAGAGAUUUUCUUUUGACUGUUGUUUGGAGAUAUUGUUGUCUCCAUACUCAUACAUGGGUUUAAGUUAAAUGGUAUGGAAUGCAGGAAAUUGAAAAUUUGCUAAUCAAGCAAAAUGAAAGUAAUAGUUUAGGACAUGAAGUCAGGCGGACAGCCAGUCAUGAAAACCUGUCAACAACAAUGAAAUUAUCCAUAUUUGAUACGCAUGAACAUUGGGGUGUUCUCUGUAAAUAACAUCAGAAGUGGCUGUAAAUAGAAAUACUGGAUGAAUGAGGAUCUAUAAUGCUGACUCCAAAUAAUUGGGAAAAGGCUUGAUACGUGAAGUAUCAAUCUUGGAGCCUGGGUAGUCCAAAACACCACUUGUUCAUAGAAAUACAUAUUGGCAUGCUGGCUACUACCUCGAUCCAUCUCAAGCACUGAAAUCUGUCAUGAUUUUUUAUAAUUAAAAUGUGGUCAAGGUACUUGUAAAAUGCAUCCUGAUAUUCCUG
rnacentral:lncRNA from 1 species